CGGUCCUCAGCGCCCCCCGCGGGGCGCCGCGCUCAGCUGCUCGGGGUGACCCCGGGACUGCCUUCGGUCUGUGUUUACGCGAGGAUUAACAGUGAAGGAUUCGGGAAGCCUCUUCACGUGUAAUACGAUCUUGCUCAAAAGUUUUGCUUCGUAACAAAACAAACAGCAGCCCCGGGAUCCCACAUCGGGCAUCACGACUGCAAUCGCAGACGUGUAAAUAGGGAGGGCAGCGUUUGGUCCGUCAGCGCCCGGUGGGACUGGGAUGGACUCUGCAGCCUCUGCGUCAUUGGCCGGUCUGAGAGGGACUUCUACCCGAAAAAGAAACUGCAGAUGUGCACCGUCAGAUCAGAGGGGCAGCAUGGGGAGAUCUGAGGCACGUAAACCUCAAUCGGAUCAAAGGAAACGGUUCUGUGUACGGCAAAGAGCCGUGUGGCCACGGCCAGGGCUUUGAAUCCCGCUCUUAGGGUUCCAAUUAAGAUAGCUCACAGGGCACAGACAUUUUCAUCAGGCAGGAAGAGGGGGAUAAGCUUUUCCUUUUCUGAGGAAGUGGGUGAAUUAGAGAACUGAAAGGGAUUUCACAGCUUUCCAUGGCAAAGGCCAACCCUGCUGCAGUCGAAGAAGUCUCUCUUGGGAGCAGCGCAAGGAACCAGAGGUGUUCGGAUGUCAAAGGAUCUGAUACCACCACGGGGGAUUGUCAGCAGGACCCACGGGCUGUCAGAACCGGGGCUCCUAAUUGCUUUUGAAAAUCCUUCUAGGAGCUUGAUGAUGUCGUGGUACUUAAAUAUCUCAAAAAAGAAAAAAAAAAAAAAAAAGAAAGAAAAAGGAAAAAAAAUCUGUCCGCUGGUCCCUGGCCAAACUCCUCAUCUGCUUAUCUUGGCCUUUUUUGAAGUGACGAGGCAGGCAGCGCAGGGGGUUGGGACGUGUUUGUGCUGGAGCAUCAUCUCUGCUGCUCCGACAACGUGAGCUGCUGAUUAGGAUGCGUGCAGCUCUGUGAUCGUUC
rnacentral:lncRNA from 1 species